GACGAACGCUGGCGGCGUGCUUAACACAUGCAAGUCGAACGGGAUUUAGUAAACGGAAGCCUCGGUGGAAGAUUACUAAUGAGAGUGGCGAACGGGUGAGUAACGCGUGAGCAACCUGCCUAUGACAGUGGGAUAGCCUCGGGAAACCGGGAUUAAUACCGCAUAAAAUCGUAGAAACACAUGUUUCAACGGUCAAAGAUUUAUCGGUCAUAGAUGGGCUCGCGUCUGAUUAGCUAGUUGGUGAGAUAACAGCCCACCAAGGCGACGAUCAGUAGCCGGUUCGGGAGGAAGGACCGGCACAAUUGAACUGGGGCACCGUCCCAAAUCCUAACGGAGGGAGGCAGGGGGGAUAAUGGCACAAUGGGGGAAACCCGAAGGCGGCGAGGCGGGGUAACCAAGGAGGUAAUUCGAAUCGUAAGUUCUGUCCUAUGGGAAGAUAAUGACAGUACCAUAGAAGAAAGCUCCGGCUAAAUACGUG
rnacentral:rRNA from 1 species